rnacentral:rRNA from 1 species
GAUGAACGCUAGCUACAGGCUUAACACAUGCAAGUCGAGGGGUAACGAGAGGAAAGCUUGCUUUCCUUGUCGACGACCGGCGCACGGGUGAGUAACGCGUAUCCAACCUGCCCCCAACUAGGGAAUAACCUUGCGAAAGUAAGACUAAUACCCUAUAAUUUCCUCAGAUGACAUCUGACGAGGAAUAAAGAUUUAUCGGUUGUGGAUGGGGAUGCGUCUGAUUAGCUUGUUGGCGGGGUAACGGCCCACCAAGGCAACGAUCAGUAGGGGUUCUGGGAGGAAGGUCCCCCACAUUGGAACUGAGACACGGUCCAAACUCCUACGGGAGGCAGGAGUGAGGAAUAUUGGUCAAUGGGCGGAAGCCUGAACCAGCCAAGUAGCGUGCAGGAUGACGGCCCUAUGGGUUGUAAACUGCUUUUAUACAGGAAUAAAGUUAGCCACGUGUGGUUAUUUGUAGGUACUGUAUGAAUAAGGACCGGCUAAUUCCGUGCCAGCAGCCGCCGUAA